rnacentral:rRNA from 1 species
UAGGGAAUCUUCGGCAAUGGACGAAAGUCUGACCGAGCAACGCCGCGUGAGUGAAGAAGGUUUUCGGAUCGUAAAACUCUGUUGUUAGAGAAGAACAAGGACGUUAGUAACUGAACGUCCCCUGACGGUAUCUAACCAGAAAGCCACGGCUAACUACGUGCCAGCAGCCGCGGUAAUACGUAGGUGGCAAGCGUUGUCCGGAUUUAUUGGGCGUAAAGCGAGCGCAGGCGGUUUCUUAAGUCUGAUGUGAAAGCCCCCGGCUCAACCGGGGAGGGUCAUUGGAAACUGGGAGACGUGAGUGCAGAAGAGGAGAGUGGAAUUCCAUGUGUAGCGGUGAAAUGCGUAGAUAUAUGGAGAAAAACCAGUGGCGAAGGCGGCUCUCUGGUCUGUAACUGACGAUGAGGCUCGAAAGCGUGGGCAGCAAACAGG